rnacentral:rRNA from 1 species
UACGUAGGGGGCGAACGUUGUCCGGAUUUACUGGGUGUAAAGGGUGCUCAGGCGGUCUUGUAAGUCAGAGGUGAAAUCUCAAGGCUUAACCUUGAAACUGCCUUUGAUACUGCUGGGCUUGAGUACGGAAGAGGCGGAUGGAAUUCCUGGUGUAGCAGUGAAAUGCGUAGAUAUCAGGAGGAACACCGGUGGCGAAGGCGGUCCGCUGGUCCGUUACUGACGCUAAAGCACGAAAGCGUCGGGAGCAAACAGG